rnacentral:lncRNA from 1 species
UCGAGUUUAUUGAGAGGGGGGUGACUAUGGUAGGCGAUAUGACUCGAUUUACUAACACCCCUACUGAAGACUUGAGGAGAAAAGCCCUGGAGUAUGAGGUAAAAGGUACUCUUCUCAACUAUUUGUUGACGAAUCGGCAGGAGCAGGAGGUCCAAGAGGCAAAACGGAAGGUGAAAGUCGUUGAUGACCAUCUUGCUGAUAUUGAGAAGAAAUAUUCCGAGACCAAGGCCAAGCUGGAGGAGGAUAUCAGGAAGCUGAAGGAGAGCCAGGAGGGCGAGGCGGAGAGGUUGAAGAAGG